GACGAACGCUGGCGGCGUGCUUAACACAUGCAAGUCGAACGAAGAGCGAUGGAAGCUUGCUUCUAUCAAUCUUAGUGGCGAACGGGUGAGUAACGCGUAAUCAACCUGCCCUUCAGAGGGGGACAACAGUUGGAAACGACUGCUAAUACCGCAUACGAUCCAAUCUCGGCAUCGAGACUGGAUGAAAGGUGGCCUCUAUUUAUAAGCUAUCACUGAAGGAGAGGAUUGCGUCUGAUUAGCUAGUUGGAGGGGUAACGGCCCACCAAGGCGAUGAUCAGUAGCCGGUCUGAGAGGAUGAACGGCCACAUUGGGACUGAGACACGGCCCAGACUCCUACGGGAGGCAGCAGUGGGGAAUCUUCCGCAAUGGACGAAAGUCUGACGGAGCAACGCCGCGUGAGUGAUGACGUUCUUCGGGUUGUAAAGCUCUGUUAAUCGGGACGAAUGGUUCUUGUGCGAAUAGUGCGAGGAUUUGACG
rnacentral:rRNA from 1 species